GACCCGCUUCCUCCCGGGUUAGGCUGUGUUUCCACCCCUGGGCAACUGAUUGUUAGGAGCUGCAGUGCUUUGGAGCUCUGCUGUCUUGUCUUGCCAUUGUUUGUUUUGGCCGCUCUCAAAUAAACCCGUUGCGGAUUGGACCGGCUGUGUGGGCGGGGCGUUACUCCUCUGGCUCCAUAGAAGGGGACCGAGUAGAAGGCCUGAAGCCUCGUUUUUAACGAGAAUCGUUUUAAAGAAUUGAAUAAAAUAUUGUGCAUUGAAGAAUCUGUGUUCGGGUGCAUCUUUUUACUUUUAAAAAGAUCACCACCUGCUGGUCACAUUAUUAAAACGUAUCUGAAGUGUAAAUUUUAACUCKGAUUCCCCACAUAAAUGAGUUUUUAAAAUGUAUACUCAGGGCCACAURGUUCACAACUGGAAGGCCCGCUGGUUUGUGCUGACGCCCGAUAAGUUGCUGUACUACAAAUAUGAAGGAGGGAAACGGGAUUCAUGUCGGAGAGGGAAAAUCCUGCUGAAGGACUGCCUCAUAACAUGUCCGUUCCUGGAGUGAGAAUCGGCGGACCAAGCAUGGAGUGGAUCACUUUUUGGAAGCCUGUUUCAGAGAGGAGAGGGAUGAGUGGGCUGCUGACAUCACCAUCGUGGUCAACAAGAGGCUUUGUGGCCCAUCAGAACUCAUUUCAUGCACUGACAGUUUGACUGAACAUGGACUCCCUUCAGAACAUUCUCACAAGAUUGGACUUGAGAGACUGAUCUGUAUUAUUCUAUCCUGUAUAGAGAGUGAGGGGUGGAUGUUUACCUUAAUACACAUGAUCAAAAUGUGAUAUGCACUAAUUGUACAUUUUUAUUAAUGGUUUUGCAUUCUCAAAUAUAUCUAUAGAUAAAUAUUUGACAAUCCCUCCAGUCAAUGUCAUUGUGAUAAAAGACGACAUUGUAACUGAUGCUGUUUGUUUCAAAUUAUACUAACCAGUUUAACUCCACCUAUGUAAAAGCUUCAGGAAUAUAUAAAAAGUUACUUUUAAUAUUCACUAUUAAGUAAUUUUCUUUCUUUAUAGUUAAUAUUAAUUGUAUAAUAUGAAUAUAGUAAUUGA